rnacentral:rRNA from 1 species
CCUACGGGAGGCAGCAGUGGGGAAUAUUGCACAAUGGGGGAAACCCUGAUGCAGCGACGCCGCGUGGGUGACGAAGUAUUUCGGUAUGUAAAGCCCUAUCAGUAGGGAAGAAGAUGACAGUACCUGACCAAGAAGCCCCGGCUAACUACGUGCCAGCAGCCGCGGUAAUACGUAGGGGGCAAGCGUUAUCCGGAUUUACUGGGUGUAAAGGGAGCGUAGGUGGCAUGGCAAGCCAGAAGUGAAAACCCGGGGCUUAACCCCGCGGAUUGCUUUUGGAACUGUCAGGCUGGAGUGCAGGAGGGGCAGGCGGAAUUCCUGGUGUAGCGGUGAAAUGCGUAGAUAUCAGGAGGAACACCGGUGGCGAAGGCGGCCUGCUGGACUGUAACUGACACUGAGGCUCGAAAGCGUGGGGAGCAAACAGGAUUAGAUACCCCAGUAGUC